UGUGUAUUUAUAUAUGUAUGUGGUGUAAAUUAAAAAGAAAAGAAAAAAGAAAAUAAAAAGAAAAUGGUGGGACCCACCAAUAUCAAACAUAAGGCCAACAAAACACUAGUUGGUCUCUCAUUUCUCUCUUCUCUCCCGCGGGCUUCUCUCACUCUCUCUCAAGCUUCUGUUUUUCUUUUCUUUUUCUUCUUCAAACUUCAAUCCUAGAUUUCUCUCUCAACUUUUGGUAUUUUUAAGAGCCGUUUGCGGCAAUUCGAAGAGCACAGUGAAAUCUUCAAAUCCAUACCAGCAAUUUCAGUUUUUGGCCACUCUAGGAAGCCCGAAAAUUGAGACCCAUUUUGAGGGUUUUUGCAUCCUAAGAGGUACUUGACUAUAAGGAAGGCGAACUUUGGAACUUGAAGCAAUCAUUGAAGCUUAAAGCUAACAUUAAAAUUUGAAGUUGCUUAAGGACCUUUAUGAACAAUUCUUGGAACUCAUGUAUUUUAAUUGUGCACUUCUUUGCAUGCUUGUGAUAGCCCUUGUUGAGGCUAAUUAUAUUGCUUAAAUUUUUUGUCCAAGCAUUGGCCCGUGUGGAGGCCAUUAUUUCUUGCAUUUGGAUUUUGAAUGUGGAAACCAUUGUUUAAUCCAAGUUUGGGGAAAAUUAUUUCCCCUCACCUUAUGUCCCUCCACCAUAUUUUGAUCCUUAUGAGGUUGAGUCCAAUUCAUUUCAACAUGCAUCAUCUUAUCAUGGACUUAAUCACUUUUAUGAUCCUCCUUAUGACUACUACCCUCCCCCACCAUUUUAUGAUGAAUCAACUCCACUACCUUCUAGGUAUUCACCUGGAUUUGAAGAAAAAGUUUUAGCUUUACUUGAUGUGCAUAUUUCACAAGCUCCACUUAUUAAUUCUCAUUCUCAAAUGUUAGACAAGUUAGAAGCUCAAGUUGAGCAAAUUGCAAGUACUCUUUCUCAUCAAGAGGAAGAGGAAGAGGCAAAUGAAAAAAUGGCAAGAACUUUAAUGUAUAUAAAUGAGGAUGAUGAGAGUGAAGAGGAAUAAGUAGCAAGUGAGCUAAUGCCUAGCACUCUAUCUUGUAUAGAGGAGGAAGUGGUAAAUGAGUUAGUGGCUAAUCUAAUAGAGCAUAAUAUGAUUAAUGAGGACUUUCCUUGUUUUGAUUAUGAUUUUAUCUCCACCAUUGCUACUUUAGAAAGUGAGGAGAUGUUGACCACUAUAGAGGUAGGAGAGGAGGAGGAAGAACUUGCUGAAGAGGGCCUUCCUUUUAUUAUCUCCAAUGACCCUCUUGAGACAUGCCUUUUCGAAAUGUAUAAAAAUUGUGGUUUUGACCUUGAAAGCUCCAAAAAUGAAGUGAACUCUCUAAUGGACUCCUUAGCUAACUUGGAAGGUGAGGAGAUGGUGAUUUUUAAGGAAGAGGAAAAAGAUGAAGAGAAGGUGUUUCUUGAUAUUCCAAAUGAGUCUUUGAAAGACAAUGCCUCACCAAUUAUCAAAGUGAAUGAUCCUUUGAAAGUGUUUCAAGAACACAACAAAGAGGCAAGACCAACCAUGAUUGAUUUUGUUUUCAAGACCGUGGAUGAAAGGAACAAUAUCAACCCUUUUAUUUCUUUUCAAGUCAUUCUUUUGGAGGAUGAUUUCAUUGUCAUAAGUGGGACAUUAAAUGAGAAAAGUGAAAAGAGGAUCAAUAAGGAUGUUUCAUAUCCGAUUUUUGAUUCUUUUGAUUAGUGAGUUGACCCAACGUCUUACUAGAGGCGUUAAACACUAGUAUUCGUAGAGUUUUUAACUUUAUUCCUCCCUAAUUGCUAUUUUUAAUUUCAUUUCUUGCGACAUCUAGAUAUUUGUUUUGGGUUCAUACACACUACUAGGAACUGUGGUUUAGGAUUGCAUGCACUUUCAUGUUGAAAAUAGGCAUUUUGUGUUUGUUCGAUCGAUCUCAAAAGAGGUUUAAUCGAUCGAACUUCCACCCUGCAUCCAAAUCACCUCUCUGUUUAAUCGUGCGAAGAUUUCUUGCAUAAAACAGCUCUCUGUCCCUCGUGCGAAGUUCCUAUCUGAUCAAUCUUAAGUUCCAAGAUCGAUCCAACUUGUUUUUGGAUCGAUCUUUAGUUCCAACACUUAGAAAUUUUUUUUUUAACCCCAUAAAGUAGCCCUCUGUUUGAUCGUUCGAAGUUGUCUGCAGGAUUCCACCUUUUCGAUCGAUCGAAGAUUAAAUCGAUCUAAGUUCGAUCGAUCUGAAGCUUCUAAAAAUAAUAAUAAUAAAAAAUUUUUGUAUUCUUUAUUUCUUUGCAUUCCUUAUUUCCUUACAUUUUUAUUUACUUAUCUUUUUAUUUUUGUUUUUGUUUGUGUACAUAUUUGUUUAGCACAAAAUAAUAAUAAUAAUAAAAUAAAAUAAAAUAAAAUAAAUAAUAAUAAAAAAAAUAAAUAAAUAAAAAUUAAUAAAAAAAGAGACGGUUUUUCAAAGUAGCAUUCUGUCUUACUAGAGACGUUAAACUUAGCAAUCAUUGUGCAUAUUUCUUGUAUUUUAUUUCAUUGUACAUACUUUCAAAAAAAAUAAAAAUAAAAAAAAAAUUUGCAUUCUUUAUUUCAUGGUAUUUUCAUUUAUUGCAUUUUUAUUUCUUUGCAUUUUAUUGUGUGUGUGUACAUACUUGUUUUGUCAUUAAAAAAAAUGAAAAAAAAGAGUUUUUAUUUUUCAUUUUUCCUUAUUUUGUUCUUGCAUUCUUUCUUACUUUUUAUUUUUCAUUUAUUGCAUUGUACAUAUUCUUUCAUUACAUUUUGCCUUAUUUAUUUUUCUUUUUGCAUUUUGUUCAUGUAUUUUAUUCUUUAUUUUUCUUUCAUUUUGUAUAUACUUGCUUUCAUAAAGAGAAAAACAUAAAAAAUUUUCACCAUUGUGCCCUUAUGUGUAGUCAUGCUUCUUUCAUAUUUUAUAUUGGGGUAGAUCUCAUAUCUCUCUUUCAUCUUAUGCUAUAUUGCCUUAGAUUGCAUGAUUUGGUUAUCUUUAUCCCAUUUGAUAUUUGAUGUGAGUUUGCUAGUGUGGUUAUUCAAAUAGGUUGUUGAUUCCAAGUUUGGGGGAGACCCUUUUCAUAGUGGAUCAUUGUCGAGCUUCAUGUCUUUCACCACCACGGUCAAUAAAGUUAAAACGAGCUAAAAAUGGCUUCUUAAGGCCUUUUUGGAGUCAAACUAAGUCUUUGUGAGAAUUUGGAGCAAAAGGAUGCUGAUUUGGAGCAAAAGGAUGCUGAUUUGGAGCAAAAGGAGGCUGAUGCUGAAAAACUGCCAAGUUAGAUAGAUCUGAGAAAAGUCUGAUAGAUCUGAGAAAAGUGAGAUCGAUCAGAGUUGGAUCGAUCAAACCCAGAUCGAUCAAAAGUUGGAUCGAUCGAAAAAACUCUGAUCGAUCGAAGAAAAGUUGGAUCGAUCGAAAAUGUGCUGGCAGCAAGCUGUCUUAUUCCCGAGCGCCGAUUUCUACCUACCAAAAAGUUGCCGGAAUAGAUAUUUUUGGGCUAUAUUUCUGACUUAGUGGUUAAAAAAAUGACCUUCUAUUUAAAGGGAAGUGACCUAUUUUGUUAAAGAGUUUUUCAUCAUUUUAUUUUUACAUUGUAAUUUUAUAUUCUCUCUAGAAAAGUUAGAGAUUAGGGUUAGAAGAAAAGAGGGAAGUGGAGGCACAUCUUAAGACCACAUCUCUAGAUCCAUUCACUCUCUCUCUCUCCAGAGCUUUAAAGAAGAAGAAGAAGCCAUGUUUGGAACUUGCCCUUGAGGGUUUCAUGACCACAUUCACCUCCUCCAUGAUUGGCUAUAUCUACACUUAGGGCUUGGAUGAGCCUUAAGUCUUGUGUAAUCUAAACCCUUGUAUUUCUAUUUUUGGGGAUUUAUAUAUAUUGUUGUGAUUUGUGUUCUA